UAUCCAUAAUUUCUCGUAAUACA
rnacentral:snRNA from 1 species